rnacentral:lncRNA from 10 species
CUCGUGACAGUGAAUAAGUCUCACGAGAUCUGAUGAUUUUGCGCAAGCUCUUUUCUCUUUGCCUGCCACCAUCCUUGUAAGAUAUGACUUGCCCCCCCUUGCCUUCCACCAUGAUUGAGGCUUCCCCAGCCAUGUGGAACUGUAAGUCCAUUAAACUUCUUUCUUUUGUAUAUUGCCCAGGCUUGGGUAUGUCUUUAUCAGCAGUGUGAAAAUAGACUAAUAUACAAGGUGACAUUAUACAAGGUGGUUAAGGGUUGACUGGUGUUUCUUCCCCCACAAUUCAUAUGUGGAAGAUCUAUCCCCUCUCCAUCUGUGAAUGUGACCUUAUUUGGAAAUGCAGUGUUUACAGAUGUCAUUAGUUUAGAUGAGGUCAUCCUGCAGGAGGAUAGGCUGUAAUCCCAUGACUGGUGUCUUUAUGAAAAGAGGAAAUUUGGACACAGACACACACAGAGGAGAACACCAUGAAACCAUGGGGCAGAGACUGGAGUGAUACAACCAAAAACCCAGGAGCACCUGGAGUUGCCAAGGUCUGGAAGAGGCAGGAAGGAUCCUCCCCUAUAGCCUCCUGAGGGAGUACAGCCCUGAGACACCUUGAUCUCAGCCUCCUGGACUCCAGGACUGGGAGACACCUCUUGCCAGGAAGUCAUAAGAAGAGACCACACUUACUCGGAGGCCGUGGUUACAAUGUGAUCCCAAAGUGUAAGACAUAGCUAAUCACUGUGAUACCACAGGACUGUUUACAAUGCAAACCAACAAUAAAAUUCGAAGCCCCCCAACCGACUGAUGGACUCUCCCUUCAGCCAAGGCCAUUCCAAAGUUAACCUGAAAAACUAGGUCAG